ensembl:lncRNA
CGAGGAGCAGAGCACUGUAGACGAGAGAGAGUAUGGUCCUACUGAGUUGGGAUCAGUUCAUUUAAAGGUUUCAUUCGUUUAGGCAGGAUUGUCCGUUCGGUGACAAUUGCCACUGUUUCAGAGUGAGUCUGCGGUCCCGAUGAAGAAUGUCUGCUGGAGCCAGUUGAUUUGUUUACUUUCCCUCCCUCCUAGAUGUGUCCAUAACGUUCUGGAGGGGAAAAAACUGCUUCUCCUUUCGUCUGGGACUGGGUGAUGGCCUCAUCAGCUACGCAGCUGUGCUUGGGCUACUGUCACUGCAUCUAGCAACCAGUUCUGAGUGACGCUCCCCCCCCACUCCCCUGCCCCCCCCCUCUCCC